rnacentral:rRNA from 1 species
UUUCGCAAUGCCCGAAAGGGUGACGAAGCGACGCCGCGUGCGGGAAGAAGGCCUUCGGGUUGUAAACCGCUGUCGGGAGUUAAGAAAUGUAAGGAUGUUAAUAGCAUCUUUGCUUGACUAAGGCUCCGGAGGAAGCCACGGCUAACUCUGUGCCAGCAGCCGCGGUAAUACAGAGGCGGCAAGCGUUGUUCGGAAUUAUUGGGCGUAAAGAGCACGUAGGCGGCUAUGUAAGUCGGUUGUGAAAGCCUUCCGCUCAACGGGAGAACAGCAUCCGAUACUGCAUGGCUUGAGUGCGGGAGGGGAGAGUGGAACUUCUGGUGGAGCGGUGAAAUGCGUAGAUAUCAGAAGGAACGCCGGCGGCGAAAGCGGCUCUCUGGCCCAUAACUGACGCUGAGUGUGCGAAAGCUAGGGGAGCAAACGGGAUUAGAUACCCCGGUAGUCCUAGCCGUAAACGAUGGGCACUAAGUAGAGGGGUUUUAAUCUUC